AUUUUUAUAGCUUAAGUAAAAAGCUUUAGAUUCUUACUCUAAAAAUGUCUUUUGACUAAAAAUG
rnacentral:tRNA from 1 species